rnacentral:lncRNA from 1 species
GACGGGGACUUUCGGAUUAAAAAAGGAAAACAAACGCCCAGAUACUAGCCAUUCUGUCAAAUGUCUUUUAUUAGUCCUUUUUUCUUGAAGAGGGACGUUUCCCGCACGAGGACAGCCUGCACAGGUUCGUUGAAGGGCCUGUCCCGUGGAGGAGUGGGAAACCCAAAGGCCAUCCGGAAAAUCCCCAGACCAGGAUGGGAAGGAAGCUCAGAAAUGGUACCUCGCAGAAGUCAAAGCCGGCGGUGCAGCCGGCGGCUGCCUUCUGACCCCGGUAGCACCCUUCUCCAUGGCAGGUCUCGGUGCGGUUUCCAAGGGUUUCCAACUGGUAGCAUCUCUCCCCUGAACACUGGAAGCUUUGGCAAGUGAGCUGCAGCAAGAGAAGGUGCUGAAGAUGUGCGGCUGGCCAGGCGUCCUGAUUUAUCUCAAGCCUUCACCCCC